CCUAUUCUCUCAAACCACCAAGUACGAACCCUAGGAUCAAGUACCUCCUACCUCCUGGCUGAUUGUUUCUCUCCCUCAUCCAAAUUAUCUCCAACGGUAACCUACCUAGAGAAUUCAUUAGUUUGUGGUUGAUUUAGAGGAGACAAGGCUUUUCAAUUGUUGCAGCAAGAUAAAAUGGCAGAGAAGCAUUAAUGGUGCUCACCCACCUCUUGCACUAAAAUCAAUUUAGAUCUGCUGCCCUCUUUCUCCAGUCGCGUACCGGAGUUGCAUAACAGACUGCUUUUAGGUGAUUGCGCAAUCACCAAUUGAGCCAAGGAAAAAUCAAGGAGGAAAAGAAACGGAUUAGACCUGUUCUGCUUACUCCAGCCUGCUGUUGCCGGAGCGACGCCAACAGUCCGCGCCACGCAAAGCCAACAUCCCGCGCCACGCCAAGCUAGCAUUAUGCCAAGCCAGCGCUCAUCCCAAGCCAAUCCAACGCUAACGGCUCCAUUCCAAGCCGACCAACGCCAGCGGCUUCGUUUUAAGCCACACCAUGCCAACGGAUUGCCAAGCCAAACCAGCAACGCCAACAACUCCGCGUUCCCCAGCCUAGCCAAGCUGACGCCAACUGUUCGCAUCCCGGACAGCAACCACCACUACCACUCCGUGGUCUAGCUAGCAGCACCACGAGCAGAAUCUACGCAAAGCCACCAACACAAGAAUCACGAAUUCUCCUUACCUCUCAAAAAGGUUAGACGGAUCUUCCUGACCAUCUUUUCAUGACUUGCCAUUUCGAUUUUGUCCUUGUAUGUCACUAUCUUAUACUUACCUCGCAACAAUGCCCCUGUUUCGAGCUAUGCAGGGAACUUAAUUUUGAUGGUGGUUUUUAGCUUAGGGUUAAAAUCGUAAAACCUUAGUCAGACAGUGACGUCACACUUGAGUAAUAAUGUCGCCACUAGCAUAUUUAUUGAACCAUUCAA